rnacentral:rRNA from 1 species
UACGUAGGGUGCAAGCGUUUGUCCGGAUUUAUUGGGCGUAAAGAGCUCGUAGGCGGUUUGUCGCGCCGGAUGUGAAAACCCAGGGCUCAACCCUGGGCCUGCAUUCGAUACGGGCAGACUAGAGUAUGGCAGGGGAGACUGGAAUUCCUGGUGUAGCGGUGAAAUGCGCAGAUAUCAGGAGGAACACCAACGGCGAAAGCACUCUGCUGGGCCGACACUGACACUGAGAGACGAAAGCUAGGGGAGCGAAUGGG